UAUACAUGCAAGUCGAGCGAAUCAAUGGGAGCUUGCUCCCUGAGAUUAGCGGCGGACGGGUGAGUAACACGUGGGUAACCUGCCUGUAAGACUGGGAUAACUUCGGGAAACCGGAGCUAAUACCGGAUAGUUUCUUUUCUCGCAUGAGAGAAGAUGGAAAGAUGGUUUCGGCUAUCACUUACAGAUGGACCCGCGGCGCAUUAGCUAGUUGGUGAGGUAACGGCUCACCAAGGCGACAAUGCGUAGCCGACCUGAGAGGGUGAUCGGCCACACUGGGACUGAGACACGGCCCAAACUCCUACGGGAGGCAGCAGUAGGGAAUCUUCCGCAAUGGACGAAAGUCUGACGGAGCAACGCCGCGUGAGCGAAGAAGGCCUUCGGGUCGUAAAGCUCUGUUGUUAGGGAAGAACAAGUACGAGAGUAACUGCUCGUACCUUGACGGUACCUAACCAGAAAGCCACGGCUAACUACGUGCCAGCAGCCGCGGUAAUACGUAGGUGGCAAGCGUUGUCCGGAAUUAUUGGGCGUAAAGCGCGCGCAGGCGGUCCUUUAAGUCUGAUGUGAAAGCCCACGGCUCAACCGUGGAGGGUCAUUGGAAACUGGGGGACUUGAGUGCAGAAGAGGAGAGUGGAAUUCCACGUGUAGCGGUGAAAUGCGUAGAGAUGUGGAGGAACACCAGUGGCGAAGGCGACUCUCUGGUCUGUAACUGACGCUGAGGCGCGAAAGCGUGGGGAGAAAACAGGAUUAGAUACCCUGGUAG
rnacentral:rRNA from 2 species